UCGGCAAAACAGACUAUCGCGGAUAGCCUUUGCGCUACACGAGGAAAGUCGGGACAGCACAGAGCACCAUACUUCCUAACGGGAAGGCGUUUUGAAAAAAACGACAGCAAGUGCCACAGAAAAUAACCGCUCCGAACUUGUUGAAGAGCAAGGGUGAAAAUGUGAGGCAAGAGCUCACACAAUGGCAUGGCGACAUGUCAUUGGGGUAAACCUUAUGGGCUGCAAAACCAAAUAUACCAACACGAAAGUUUCGACUUUCAGCAGGUUGCUCGCCUGAGUUGGAGGGUAGGUCGCUCGAACUACUUGGCAACAAGUAGUCUAGAUAAAUGAUAGUCGUUUCGCUCCGGCGGAAAACAGGAUCCCGCUUAUCGUUUUGCCAUGACU
rnacentral:RNase_P_RNA from 1 species